AUUGAACGCUGGCGGCAGGCCUAACACAUGCAAGUCGAACGGUAACAGGAAGAAGCUUGCUUCUUUGCUGACGAGUGGCGGACGGGUGAGUAAUGUCUGGGAAACUGCCUGAUGGAGGGGGAUAACUACUGGAAACGGUAGCUAAUACCGCAUAACGUCGCAAGACCAAAAAGGGGGACCUUCGGGCCUCUUGCCAUCGGAUGUGCCCAGAUGGGAUUAGCUAGUAGGCGGGGUAACGGCUCACCUAGGCGACGAUCCCUAGCUGGCCUGAGAGGAUGACCAGCCACACUGGAACUGAGACACGGUCCAGACUCCUACGGGAGGCAGCAGUGGGGAAUAUUGCACAAUGGGCGCAAGCCUGAUGCAGCCAUGCCGCGUGUAUGAAGAAGGCCUUCGGGUUGUAAAGUACUUUCAGCGGGGAGGAAGGGAGUAAAGUUAAUACCUUUGCUCAUUGACGUUACCCGCAGAAGAAGCACCGGCUAACUCCGUG
rnacentral:rRNA from 1 species